GUUUUGGCUUCGAAAUGGUAUAAAGUGCGUCGAAAUCCGAGCUCCGUAGCUCCUGUUAUGACCAAAACAAGAUCGAUUGUCACAACUGCCUUGAAUCUGGACAGUUCUGACGGGUACUUUGACACUCAAAUUUCGUUCUGUUCUGAGUGGAUUCAGGUCUUGGCCAAAACAUCAAAGUUUUAGCCUUAUGUCUCAGCUUUCUAAUGCCUUUGGAAUUUCCUGAUUUGGAUUUGUGAGCUGGGAGUUAUGGUCCAGCAAACAUACCCUAUUCGUUACUCCAGAGUGCGAAUUCUUGGAACGGUUUUCUGCACUUUCGACCCAUCUCUGUUCAGAUCCAGAGUUAGGUGUCUUCAUGAAAGUUAUAGACUUUUCUCUUAGCUUCGCAACGGUACCUCAUGUACCUUCAACCGACACUCGUAGUUUCGAUUAGGCUCAAAACAGUUUUGACGGCAAAAUGGCUAAGCCACCAUUUCCGUUUCCGUAUGCCGUUUCCGCACUCGUAUGUGCCGAUUUUGCCGUUUUGCUUGUUUUAGGUCUAUUAGUAGCCGUUUAUGAUAUUAUGUGACGCAAUCUUCUAUUUCAGACGGUGGUGAGUUAGGUGGAGCCGGUGGGGCCUACUAGCUACUCUUCGCGGCACAAAUUUCGAAUUUUUGCUCUUUUGUUCGUUGAGUAAGUAUUCAGGCCGCUCCUACGUGUUAGUUGCUUAUGUGUUUCGAUAUGUAUGAAAAGGGUACCUAGGCGAGGGUGUACUUUAUCACGCUCGAUCUAAACCCGAAUUUGUGCACAUAUUUGUACAUGACAUAUGUAUGUGAAUCAUUUUGGAACUAAACCCCUUGAGCUUGUGGCUCGGGGUGACUUUUGAAUAAAUUUUGUGAAGUUUGUGAGUUUGGGGCCCGAUCUCAUGAUCGAGAUGGAAUAUUCGAGCCAGUUAGGGCUUGGUCGAAGUUAGUCCAACCUGGUUUGAGGUCACCAAGUUUGUGAAUCCGGUUCACCGAUAUGUGGACCAAGUUUGUGACCCGAGCUCAAUUUCAUUCGCUCGAGUAAGUUUGUGAGGUAUCUGGCCAGAGAGGGUGAUAAGGUGUACGGUGGGAGUACAAGUGAAGUUUUACGGACCAUUAAUUGUGGUCGACGGAGUGUCGGCAGGAGAUCAUACAUGGCACAUGAAUUGGCUUUGGAGCCACCUGUAUCCUUAUUAUGUGAUGUUACUUUUCUACUUUUGCUUUACUCUUACUGUGUAACUGUUGUUACGUGAAAUUUAC
rnacentral:lncRNA from 1 species